rnacentral:sRNA from 1 species
UUCCCCAAUCCCACGAUGUCCGAACAUGUCAACUCUCCAUACUUUUGAGGAAAUUAUUUUGUUGAUAUAAUAUGUCCAAAAAUUUACGGGAAAAAUGUCAUUUAAUCUCCUAACUUUCAAAAAAUGGUUAUUUUAUACAUCAACUUCGUACGUGGUCGUUUAAAACAUGAAAUAAACGUUGACUAAUUUUUAAAACAUGAUCUUUCGUUGACCAGGCCAAAAUAGACAUGUCGUUAUCAGUCAUUAACGGAACUUCUAACGUCCGUUAUCAUCCGUUAACUUUAUUAGUCAAGUUUCAAAUUGUGGCCAUUUUAAACAUCAACUUCUUAUGUGGCCAUUUAAAACAUGAACUAAACGUUAACUACCAUUUAAAACAUGAAAAAUUCGUUGACCAGGCCAAAAUAGACAUGUCUUUAUCAAUAGAACCUAAAACCCCGUUAAUGACUGUUAAUCUGUCCAAAACAACGUCGUUUGAGAAUAAUCGAAAGAACAUAAAGAUUUUUCCCAUAUGAAAUCUUCAUAUCAAAAAGUUUUAAGCAGAACCCAAGAACAUAGUUUGAUAAAGAGAUAAUCGCAGUGCCAGUAAUUGGAAGCAAAUAAAGGUGUUUUCGUUUAUAUAUUUGUUUUAAAUUUUAAAAGGAAUCAUGGAAGCAAAUUGAAGACUCAUUAUAAAAUUGUUCGUCUUGUUUGAGCGGUUGUAGAAAUAAAUUUGGGGAACUAGGGAUACUAAUAGAGUCGUUAACAAGUGAUAAUGAAUGUUAUAAGUUCUUUUAGUGAAUGAUGACAACAUGUUUAUUUUGGCUUGGUCAACGAAUUUUUCAUGUUUUAAAUGGUAGUCAACGCUUAGUUUAUGUUUAAAAUGGUCACAUAUAAAGUCGAUGUUUAAAAUGGCCACAAUUUAAAACUUGACUAAUAAAGUCGUUAACGGAUGAUAACGGACGUUAGAAGUUCCGUUAAUGACUGAUAACGGCAUGUCUAUUUUGGCCUGGUCAACGAAUAAUUAUGUUUUAAAAGUUAGUCAACGUUUAGUUCAUGUUUUAAACGGCCGCAUACGAAGUUGAUGUAUAAAAUGACCAUUUUUUGAAAGUUGGGGGAUUAAUUGACAUUUUUCCCAAAAAUUUGCAUUGUACAUUUAAUCCAAACUGAAGUUUAAUCACCAUCAAACAGAUAAUGUACAUUUUAGUAGAGUUAGGCGACUUAUUACAGAAUUCGGUAGAAUUAUCUUCUCUUUUUCUUUUCUUUUUUUCUCCUUACAGUAUAGAUUUCAAAUAUA